UGAGCAAUCUGCCCUUCUCUUUGGAAUAAGCGUUGGAAACGACGUCUAAUGCCGAAUACGACCUCCUUUCGCAUGAUCGGAGGUGGAAAGCUCCGGCGGAGAAGGAUGAGCUCGCGGCCUAUCAGCUAGUUGGUGUGGGUAAUGGCCCACCAAGGCGACGACGGGUAGUCGGCCUGAGAGGGUGACCGGCCACACUGGGACUGAGACACGGCCCAGACUCCUACGGGAGGCAGCG
rnacentral:rRNA from 1 species